rnacentral:rRNA from 1 species
UACGGAGGGGGCUAGCGUUGUUCGGAAUUACUGGGCGUAAAGCGCACGUAGGCGGAUUGGAAAGUUGGGGGUGAAAUCCCGGGGCUCAACCCCGGAACUGCCUUCAAAACUCCCAGUCUGGAGGUCGAGAGAGGUGAGUGGAAUUCCGAGUGUAGAGGUGAAAUUCGUAGAUAUUCGGAGGAACACCAGUGGCGAAGGCGGCUCACUGGCUCGAUACUGACGCUAAGGUGCGAAAGCGUGGGGAGCAAACAGG